rnacentral:tRNA from 1 species
UCUAAUAUGGCAUGGCAGAUUAGUGCAAUGGACUUAAACCCCGUACAUAAAAUCUUAUUGAUUUUUUUUAGAA